UACGGAGGGUGCAAGCGUUAUCCGGAUUCACUGGGGUUAAAGGGUGCGUAGGCGGGCGGGUAAGUCAGGGGUGAAAUCUUCGAGCUUAACUCGGAAACUGCCGUUGAUACUAUUUGUCUUGAAUAUCGUGGAGGUGAGCGGAAUAUGUCAUGUAGCGGUGAAAUGCUUAGAUAUGACAUAGAACACCAAUUGCGAAGGCAGCUCGCUACACGAAUAUUGACUCUGAGGCACGAAAGCGUGGGGAUCAAACAGG
rnacentral:rRNA from 1 species